rnacentral:rRNA from 1 species
GACAGAGGGUGCAAACGUUGUUCGGAAUUACUGGGCGUAAAGCGCGUGUAGGCUGCUUCGCAAGUCGGAUGUGAAAGCCCUGGGCUCAACCUAGGAAGUGCACUCGAAACUGCGAAGCUUGAGUCCUGGAGAGGAAGGCGGAAUUCUCGGUGUAGAGGUGAAAUUCGUAGAUAUCGAGAGGAACACCGGUGGCGAAGGCGAGUCUCUGGACAUUUCCUGACGCUGAGGCACGAAAGCCAGGGGAGCAAACGGG